GUUCAUCAGUGCCACGAUUUGAUAAAUGCUCCUCAUGUAUUGCAAAAUUCUUGAAACCCAAUUUAUUGUUGUAACCGUUGGAAUGUGAAAACAAUCAACAAUCAUUAUUACUUGAUUUAAUUUCAUUUGAAGCCAUUCGUUUGCCAAAUCUUUAAAAUCCUUCGUAUCAUUAUUGUUUUCUUUAUUUAAUUUCUAUGUUUCUCUAGAAGCCAACGACCAGUCAUCGCAUAACCACCAUCAAAUGCCACACACUGUUGAUUCUCCGCCAAGUCGGCUCUGGUGGAUAGAACGAACGACGAAACGAGACCUGCCGAGAUGCGUGACAACGGCAUCCUACAAUUUUGGAUCACCAGGUUCGAAUUACCCUUUUCAUCAUAAUCGAUAGUGGCUGCGUUAAUUAAUUCUAGGGUUCUGGUGAAGCCUCGGUCAUAGCCGCCUCCGUCGUCGGAACUAAUAGUUUCCUUCAUGAGGGUUUUUUUUUUUUUUACACUGUUUAUCGUUUUUAUUUUGACUUGAGAUGUUGAAGAAGAGAAGGAGUGCAAUGAAUGAUCCCUUGAAAACGUGUCUCUAAAUCCUCUAUCACACAGUAAUUUGUUUAAUUGAGAUUUUUUUUUUCUUUUUUUCAAGUUACUGGUUUAUAUGAUGUAUGAAUAAAUUUUUGCUUUAAUUCAAAGUUAUAUAAUUUGCAGAAACAUGUUUAGUUCAUGUGGGAUUGGAAUUGCAUUCUUUCAUAUGAUCCUUGAUCUUCGGCUCGCAAUUGCAAAUACGCUUACCGCCCGGUUAAAUGAUGGAAUUCCCUAAAUUGAUGAGAAAUGGGUGCUUCUCGGUUUCUGUAUAUACGCAGCUACACUGUAUCUGCAUUUUGCCACAUCAGUCAUUAUUCAUGAAAUAACAACAUCUCUUGGAAUCUACUGUUUUAGGAUAAGAAUUGCAAAGAAAAAGGCCUGAGACAUGUUCAUGUUUGAUAUGAAGGUUACUACCAGCUCACAAAUUGGAAUUGGAUAUAUCUAAUAUACCCGAGUUUUGUGACCGGUUUCGUAUCUGUUGUUACAGAUUCGGCUGAUCGGAAUCAAGGGUUUCAAAUAAAGUGGUGGAACUUGCAUUAGUUAAUAGACCACAGGUGAAUAGAGAUAUUGCUGGUUCUUCUAUUUUACUUCUCCCUAGAGAAUUUUCAUUUGUUCACACUUGAAACAAUGCGGGUUUCAAUCAGAGUCAAAGUGGGAUUCAAGGAAACUUUGGGGGUGGUUUUUUGAGUCUUCGACUUGGAGGUAGUGAAGAAUCGGUAUCUACUUCACCUUGCGUCAUGGAUUUAUAGCGGUGAGCACUUAUAUACACAACAAUGUUAAGAGGCUGGACUGGAACUUUUUUAGAAAAAGAACGUCAUAAUAAAAAAAAUGAUGAUACAAAACUCAAUCCUGUAUUAGAUGGUACAAAUGAAUUUUCAUUAUUCGCAUCCCCAUCAUUUCAGGAUUGAAUCAAGGUGAUACUGCUCUUCCAUUAAAGGGUUGGCCUUUGAGUGUAAGACAAGAUGGUUUGCAUUUCUUCCAUACAAUGUUAUAAUUUGAUUUCUAAAGAUGCUUGGUGUGAAUUUCCUUAACAGGGAAUGGAUGAUUUACACCCUAAUAUGGGUUUGCAAGUACAAAAGCUCAAUAUGCAGAAUCAACAUCAGUUCUAUUUGCCUUGAAACAUGCCCAGGCCCAAGGUAAUAUUGCAACUUCACCAAAUUAUGGGCUUGUUAGAUUAUCUAGAGGCAGUCUAAGUAUGAAAGAUGGUCAAACCACAAGAAAUGAUGGAUCCCCUGGUCAAAUGAAUUCACCCCAGGUUAAGAUUUUCUUUUUAUGAUCUAAUUCUUGGUUCUCUGUGUUAUUAUAACAUCUCUCUUUUAUCUACACAAUCCCCAACAAGACCACUUUAAUCUGUACUUCUGU
rnacentral:lncRNA from 1 species